rnacentral:rRNA from 1 species
CGGGUGAGUAAUGUAUGGGGAUCUGCCCGAUAGAGGGGGAUAACUACUGGAAACGGUGGCUAAUACCGCAUAAUCUCUUAGGAGCAAAGCAGGGGACCUUCGGGCCUUGCGCUGUCGGAUGAACCCAUAUGGGAUUAGCUAGUAGGUAAGGUAAUGGCUUACCUAGGCGACGAUCCCUAGCUGGUCUGAGAGGAUGAUCAGCCACACUGGGACUGAGACACGGCCCAGACUCCUACGGGAGGCAGCAGUGGGGAAUAUUGCACAAUGGGCGCAAGCCUGAUGCAGCCAUGCCGCGUGUAUG